UAACCACCAAAGGUGAAGCCUCUGCUUCCCAGCUAGCACAGUGCUUCCUAAGAGGGUGAAAAUCAGCUCAAACUCGAGGACGUGGGAGUCUGGGGAAGGGAGGCUGCAGAUCCAUGUUCUCUACAAUGCAGAGAGGAAGGGUUAAGGAACAGAUAUGAAGACAGAAAUGUUCACAAUGAUUGGAGGGCUGAAAAAUGUCUUGAAAUAUUCUUAAAUAUUCACCACAAGCCUAGCCCUGUGUUAGGUUCUUUCACACAACUGUUCUUUAUUUGUCAUAAGCAUCUGUCUGGGAAAGUAGGACCUAGUGUCAACUUCUUAAAGCAUCGUUGGAGUUUAGGGUCAGGGCACAUCUCCUCUCGUACUAACUACUUUCCCUUCCCAUCUUUGCAGUACCCAGGUAACGUGUUCAUAGCACAGAUGCAAGUACCAAUACUUCUGUAUUGCCGUGAGGAACACAGAUGCCUACCACUACAUUGCCAGACACCAAGACCCAUUUUCAGGGGUGGAGGUGUUUGUUCCAAGCAAUGAGGAGCUGCUUCAGUGGAUGCUCCAUCUGGCAUUCAGAUGCCAAGAAACGAUCAAAGAGAAAGGGACUCCCAAACCCUCACUAAGCACCACUAAAAAGAGACUCUUGUUUUGGAGGUAGUGGAGUGGUGGAUAUGAUCAAAUGUAUUGUGUGUAUGUAUGAAAUGUGACAAGAAUAAAUAGAUAAUGCUAUUGUUUGAAAAGAA